rnacentral:tRNA from 1 species
GCGAGGGUGGCGGAAUUGGUAGACGCACUGGCCUUAGGAGCCAGCGGCUUAUGGCCGUAGGGGUUCGAGUCCCCUCUCUCGCACCA